UACAGGGGGUGCAAACGUUGCUCGGAAUCAUUGGGCGUAAAGCGCACGUAGGCGGUCUGUUAUGUCGGAUGUGAAAUCCCUCGGCUCAACCGAGGAACUGCACCCGAUACUGGUUGGCUAGAGUCCGGGAGGGGGUAGCGGAAUUCCCAGUGUAGCGGUGAAAUGCGUAGAUAUUGGGAAGAACACCGGUGGCGAAGGCGGCUACCUGGACCGGUACUGACGCUGAGGCGCGAAAGCCAGGGGAGGCGAAUGGG
rnacentral:rRNA from 1 species